GAUGAAGAACGUAGCGAAAUGCGAUAAGUAAUGUGAAUUGCAGAAUUCAGUGAAUCAUCGAAUCUUUGAACGCACAUUGCGCCCGCCAGUAUUCUGGCGAGCAUGCCUGUUUGAGCGUCAUUUCAACCAUCAAGCCCCAGGCUUGUGUUGGAGCCCUGCGGCUGCCGCAGCCUCCCAAAACCAGUGGCGGGCUCGCUAUCACACCGAGUGCAGUAGUUUACUCUUCGCUCAGGGCGUGUGGCGGGUGCUAGCCGUGAAACCCCCAACUUCUCAAGGUUGACCUCGGAUCAGGUAGGAAUACCCGCUGAACUUAAGCAUAUCAAUAAGCGGAGGA
rnacentral:misc_RNA from 1 species